UCUGGAUGGUAGUGUAUUGGACUACCAUGGCUUUAACGGGUGACGGAGGAUUAGGGUUCGAUUCCGGAGAGGGAGCCUGAGAAACGGCUACCACAUCUAAGGWAGGCAGCAGGCGCGUAAAUUACCCAAUCCUGACUCAGGGAGGUAGUGACAAGAAAUAACGGACCGAGGCCUCGCGCUUCGGGAUUGCAAUGAGAACAAUUUAAACCCCUUAACGAGGAUCAAUUGGAGGGCAAGUCUGGUGCCAGCAGCCGCGGUAAUUCCAGCUCCAAUAGCGUAUAUUAAAGUUGUUGCAGUUAAAAAGCUCGUAGUUGGAUUUCUGGGAGGGYGCCAAUGUCCGCUGAGGCGUGAGCAGCGGCGCCCUUCCAUCCUUCUGUUAACGUUCCUUGGUAUUCAGUUACUGGUUUCGGGCUCAGAUAUUUUACCUUGAGAAAAUUAGAGUGUUUCAGGCAGGCUUGCGCCGGAAUACAUUAGCAUGGAAUAAUAGAAUAGGACUUUAGUCUCUUUCGUUGGUUUGAGGGACUGAAGUAAUGAUUAAUAGGGACAGUUGGGGGCAUUAGUAUUCAAUUGUCAGAGGUGAAAUUCUCGGAUUUGUUGAAGACUAACUUAUGCGAAAGCAUUUGCCAAGGAUGUUUUCAUUAAUCAAGAACGAAAGUUAGGGGAUCAAAGACGAUCAGAUACCGUC
rnacentral:rRNA from 1 species